rnacentral:lncRNA from 1 species
UAAUUUUUCUUAUUCUUGUAACACACCGUUCUUAAAAAUGUUACCGGUAUGAUUCAAAUAUCAUAAUUCAUAAGGCUUUGAUUUUGGUUGGACAAAAAUUGAAAAUUAAAAAAUAGUUGUAUUUCUACUUUUCUAGUAUCUUGCUUUAAAUUGUUUAUAAUUACAAAUUUGAAUUGUAGUAUUGAUAAAGCUCUUGAUGACAAUUUCAAUUACGAUAAUUCUUAUCAGUAAUGAAUUCAAUUUAUUGGGAAGUUUCGGUUGGUGACUGGUACUGGGCCCGGGCAGAUGCAGGCCUCGUUGGGCAAUGACGUCAGCUAUAAUGGGAACUGGUGAGGCCACCGCCGCUGCUGCUGCUGAUGAUGAUGAUGGUGGUGGAUCCGAUGACUUGUGCGCUUGCGCAGUCGGGCCUAUCGCCUCUUCGCCAUCCUCUGUUGGCUGCAUUCUGUAGCAAUUCAGCUCCUCGAUGAAUUCUUUAUAGGCUAGAUAUCUCUGCAAGCUGGAACCGGCAAUUUAACAUGGCCAUCCGAUAACACGGGAGUGACCUGUCUAAAACUUCUGUUCGUAUCCAGGUUUGAACCCCUAUAGGCUGUUACGCAAGCGUAUCCUCUAGACCACAGAUCACUCCUAAAUUUACAGUUACAAGGUAUUUCAAUUUACAGACUCAAUUUAACCAUCAAUUAUAAAAUUAAAAUAGAACAGUAAGCCUUCAUUUUUCCCAACAACAGCAACAAUAAAAUUGUUGGGACAAACAUGAUUGAAUGAU